UGGGGAAUAUUGGACAAUGGGCGCAAGCCUGAUCCAGCCAUGCCGCGUGAGUGAUGAAGGCCCUAGGGUUGUAAAGCUCUUUCACCGGUGAAGAUAAUGACGGUAACCGGAGAAGAAGCCCCGGCUAACUUCGUGCCAGCAGCCGCGGUAAUACGAAGGGGGCUAGCGUUGUUCGGAUUUACUGGGCGUAAAGCGCACGUAGGCGGACUAUUAAGUCAGGGGUGAAAUCCCGGGGCUCAACCCCGGAACUGCCUUUGAUACUGGUAGUCUUGAGUUCGAGAGAGGUGAGUGGAAUUCCGAGUGUAGAGGUGAAAUUCGUAGAUAUUCGGAGGAACACCAGUGGCGAAGGUGGCUCACUGGCUCGAUACUGACGCUGAGGUGCGAAAGCGUGGGGAGCAAACAGG
rnacentral:rRNA from 1 species